AGGAGUCAAGGCCCGCCCCGGGUCUCCGCACUGCUUACUCCCGCGCAGUGAGGUUGGCACAGCUGCCGCUCUGUGGCUCGCUUGGUUCCCUUAGUCCCGAGCGCUCGCCCACUGCAGCUUCCUUUCCCGUGCAGACAUGGCCUCUGGCACCACCACCACCGCCGUGAAGAUUGGAAUAAUUGGUGGAACAGGCCUGGAUGAUCCAGAAAUUUUAGAAGGAAGAACUGAAAAAUAUGUGGAUACUCCAUUUGGCAAGCCAUCUGAUGCCUUAAUUUUGGGGAAGAUAAAAAAUGUUGAUUGCGUCCUCCUUGCAAGGCAUGGAAGGCAGCACACCAUCAUGCCUUCAAAGGUCAACUACCAGGCGAACAUCUGGGCUUUGAAGGAAGAGGGCUGUACACAUGUCAUAGUGACCACAGCUUGUGGCUCCUUGAGGGAGGAGAUUCAGCCUGGCGAUAUUGUCAUCAUUGAUCAGUUCAUUGACAGGACCACUAUGAGACCUCAGUCCUUCUAUGAUGGAAGUCAUUCUUGUGCCAGAGGAGUGUGCCAUAUUCCAAUGGCUGAGCCGUUUUGCCCCAAAACGAGAGAGGUUCUUAUAGAGACUGCUAAGAAGCUAGGACUCCGGUGCCACUCAAAGGGGACAAUGGUCACAAUCGAGGGACCUCGUUUUAGCUCCCGGGCAGAAAGCUUCAUGUUCCGCACCUGGGGGGCGGAUGUUAUCAACAUGACCACAGUUCCAGAGGUGGUUCUUGCUAAGGAGGCUGGAAUUUGUUACGCAAGUAUCGCCAUGGCGACAGAUUAUGACUGCUGGAAGGAGCACGAGGAAGCAGUUUCGGUGGACCGGGUCUUAAAGACCCUGAAAGAAAAUGCUAAUAAAGCCAAAAGCUUACUGCUCACUACCAUACCUCAGAUAGGGUCCACAGAAUGGUCAGAAACCCUCCAUAACCUGAAGAAUAUGGCCCAGUUUUCUGUUUUAUUACCAAGACAUUAAAGUAGCAUGACUGCCCAGGAGAAAAGAAGACAUUCUAAUUCCAGUCAUUUUGGGAAUUCCUGCUUAACUUGAAAAAAAUAUGGGAAAGACAUGCAGCUUUCAUGCCCUUGCCUGUCAAAGAGUAUGUUGUAAGAAAGACAAGCCAUUGUGUGUAUUAGAGACUCCUGAAUGAUUUGGACAACUUCAAAAUACAGAAGAAAAGCAAAUGACCGGUUCCCCAGUGAGGAUGUGUGUUUGGAGGUGGACCUUUACCCUGACACUCUGGGCACUCCCGGUUUUUGGCUGUCUCACAGAGCUUGCAGUGGCAAGCUGUUCCCUUCAAAAGGUCUGUGAAUUAUUUCCGUUUUCCUGGUACAUUCUUGUGGUUGUUCUUGGAGCAAAAGUUUAUGAUGUAAGCCUCUACAUACUGUUCUGUUCAUCCAAGUGGGAGCUGCAGGUUAGUCCUGCUUUCUAGCCAUCAUUUUCCCCAAUAUUUUGCAUUUCUGAUAGUUGCCGUGAGACUUUGAUGCUGCUGGUCUAGGAACCGUAGUUUGAGAACAACUGUUCUAGCAUAAUUGAAAGAAGAUUAUAUGGCCAUAGUCAAACCAUCAAGGGAACCAACGAAUAUAAAAGCAAAAAUUCCCAACCAAAAGGCAGUAAGUUCAAAGAUUCAAGAAACAUCAAGCCGCACAGAUGAAAAGGAACCAGAACAAAAACAAUGGCAAUUCAAAAAGCCAAAAUGUCUUUUUACCUCAAAAUGACCACACUAGAUCCCUUGCAAUGUUUCUUAACCAGGCUGAAAUGGCUAAAAUGACAAACAUUGAAUUCAGAAUCUGGAUGGCAAUGAAGAUCAUUGAGAUUCAGGAGAAAGGUGAUACCUACUCCAAGGAAUCUAAGGAAUACAGUAAAAUGAUACAAGUGCUAAAAGAUCAAAGUAGCCAUUUUAAGAAAGAAACAAACUUAUCUGAUAGAGUUGAAAAACUCACUACAAAAAUUCCAUAAUACCAUCAGGAUUAACAGCAGAAUAAACCAAGCUAUGGAAAUAAUCUCAGAGCUUGAAGACCAGUUCUUCAAAUCAACUCAGAUAAAAAUAAAAAAGAAUGAACAAAACCUCCAAGAAAUGUGGGGUUAUAUAAAGAGACCAAACCUAUGAAUGACUGACAUCCCUUCCAGAAAGGGAGCAAGAGCAAGGAACUUGUAAAAUAUAUUUAAUGAGACUGUGCACAAAAGUUUCCCCAGCCUUACUAGAAAGGCGAAUAUUCAAAUGCAGGAAAUUUAGAGAAACCCUGUGAGAUACUAUACAAAAUGACCAUCCCCAAGACACAUAGUCAUCAGAUUCUCCAACGUCAACACAAAAGAAAAAAAUACUAAAAGCAGCUAGAGCGAAUAGGAAGGUCACUGACAAAGGGACCCCCAUCAGGCUAACAAUGGACCUCUCAGCAAAAAUACUAUAAGCCAGAAGAGACUGUGGCCUAUAUUCAACAUUCUUAAAGAAAAGAAAUUUUAACCAAUAAUUUUAUCCAGCCAAACUAAGCUUCAUAAGAAAACGAGAAAUAAAAUCUUUUUCAGAAAAGCAAAUGCUAAGAGAAUUUGUUACCAUCAGACCUACCAUACAAGUCCUAAAGGAAGUGCUAAAUGCAGAAUCAAAAGACUGUUACCAGCCGCCAUAAAAACACACUUAAGCAUAUAGACUAUUUACAUUAUAAAACAACUACACAAUCAAGUUUGCAUAGCAACCAGCUAACAAUAAAAUGACAGGAUCAAAUCUGCACAUGGCAAUAUUAACCUUGAAUAUAAAUGGGUUAAA